ensembl:lncRNA
CCCUUCACCCACCCUUCUGCCUGCUCACGGUACUAUUAAGUUGUCAAUCACACAUUACUGUAGUAUGGAUUCAAUAUCUCAGUAUCAGCAGGAGCAGAUCAAUGAGCACCUGCAGAGAGGAAAUGUGUAUGAAACACCGGAGGAUGUGACCCCCCCCCCCGCCCACCCCAGUGUGUCAACAGGUCUGUGAGCCAAUGCAAACCAUCCACCCCACUCAAGAGCAUUUAUUGCAUCCAAGUGGGACAAAGUAGGACGAGAUUAUUCAGACCGCAAUGCAAAUAAGUGAGUUCCCCCCGGCGGCUGAGUGCAGGAUGGGACUAACAAUGGAAAAGGGCUCCGGCAGGCUGAGCCUAAUCUCUGCAUGUCGAGAGGAGCCGUGACAUGUCAGAUCCUGCAACGUCUAUUUUCUCACAGCAACACCUCGGUUCUCUCAGGGACAAGCAGGCACAGGCACACGGGCCCGCGGUACUCCACCGCUAAUAACAGAAGCUGGAAUCAAGCCAUGGGAAAAAGAAAUCGGUAACACUGUUUUCCAGCCAGCCAUGAAGUAAUCACUCCAAUUCUCGUAAAUGGCCUUUCUGGUCUUGUCUGCUCUAUUGGCUGCAGCACAAUAGGGAUUUACUUUGCAGAAUAGUGCUGUGUGAUUGUGAUCAGAGGAAUUCGCUUGGAAAAUCUAAAACCAUUUGAAAACCUCUUCUCAGAACAAUGUGCAAAUAUAUUGCAUCAAAUAUAAAAUGACAAAAAGAGAAAAAGUUAAAUUAUAUCAAAUGUAUCAAAUGUUCCAAAGGUCCUGAAGAUUAGAAGCCAGUAUUUAUGGACACAAGUUCCACUGAAAAUGUGAUCAAAUGAACGCUUCCAUUCACACUGGAUUACUGAGCAACACGUUUUAAAUGAACAUGUAAGAAAAUCUGCCGAUAUCUUAUUAAAUUCCCGCUGGGUUCCGUCACAGAGUCGUUCCACUACUCACCGUUUGUCUCAGGGUGACGUCGUUGUCGGGCUCUCGUGUGAUUUCCCGUCAUGUAUCAGGUUCCAUGUAGACAAAAGGUAAUUUCUGUCUCAUCACAGUGCAUUUUUUCAUUAUUUGCAGUAAAUUGCAAUCUAAAAAGUUCAAAGACAACAUCAUAGACAAACUCUCACAACAGAUAACAUCAUGGUAGCAAGCUGUCACUCACAGCAAGCCCCGCCCUGAAGCAUCCCCCGCUUUAUGGUCUGUUCGAGUCUAAUUGGACCAUAAUUUACAAGAUAAACAUCAUUGGGUAUUGAUUUGAAACUAGAGGUUGACAUUUACAACAUUUACUGAGGGAAUGAAUCAAGAGAGAAGUCAUUUUUUCUUCUAUGGGACCAGAGGAGUCGCCCCCUACUGGUCACCACAGAGAAUGCAGCUUCAAGUCAGGAAGUCAAAAUUUUCAACGUCUAUUAAAAAGUCUGUAAGCGUACUUUGACUUCCUGCCACAAAUCUUGGCAUGAGAUUAAGUAACUGAAAGAGUGUGUUAUGCAACGCUGCAUAACUGGCGCUGAGUGUGACUCACCGCCGUGAUAAACUCCAUAGUUGGUCUUAAAGUAGCGAUGCCUUGUUUGUUUGCCCCGGGGACACUUAUCACCAGUCAGUUCCCAGGUGUCUGGGUGUUGUGCAUUCUUCUUUACGAUGAUGCUUAUGCGUCUGUAGGUCUGCUGGAUUCUCAGAAUUAAGAUUUCGGUUUUAAUAUGGAUUCUCAGAACCCGACACGGUCUUUCUCAGAAUUAGACCUCCCCACUCGGGACACCUGGUAGCCAAGGUACACAUCCAGGAAACACCUCCUUACCAAACAUUAGUUGUUUGUUUAAAAGCUUUGACGGACCACGUGGAUCUUUUUUUAUUCAAAUAAAGUGUGCAGGGAGGAAGGAGGACAACGUACACAAAGCAUUUCCCCACAAAUGCUUGCAACUGCAUUCGUUGAAUUAUGCCCACAAUUAGACAUGUACCUUUGGUGAUGCAGACAAAGGGAUUGAACACAACAACCUUCAUAGAUCUGGUGAGAUUCUUAUGGGCAGCAGAACGUGAAACAAACAACAAAAGACCCUUUGAUACGUUAGUUAUCGCAUCCCGAAAUCAUGCGUGUCUCUGGCUCUGUCAUCCCUUCAGAGAAUUAUUGUUAAACACAGUAUUAUUUAUUAUUAAUUAUUAUACUACCUAAUGUUGUUUUUUUUAACGCCGAACCCUUUGUGUUGGAUGAAUUUAAUUUAUCAAAUGGUUCAUGAUGAGGUCUAUUUUCAAAGUUCUAAUACUUUAAAUAAGUUUUUAACAAAGUUCCCCAAUUAAAAGAAAAAAAACAUUUUCCACAAAUAACACGAGGGGCACAUUUCUUCCUGUUGUUGUUAAUGGAUGGACAUUUGUGUGUGUGUGUGUGUGUGUUACCAGUGCAUGUGUGCAUCCAAUCCGUAAUUGGUCCAUGCUGGCAGAGGCACCUGUAAGAGAUCCAUCUCCUCCGCAGCCGGACGGGCCAAGCGCCUCAGCAUCUCCCAGAUGGACCUCACAGCGAGCGGGCUGCCCGUGCAAACCUCCCCCCCCCCGCCUCUCACCAGCGGAUGGUGCCUCACAGGCGGAACGUCGUUCCACAUUAAUCCCAAUAAAGGGGCCUUACCCAGCGACGACCAGGCAGGGACGUUUCUCCGCUGUUUGGUUUGUGGACGGAGGAAUCAGCCUCUCGUGCCAACAAUGCCUUCUUCUUCUCCUUAUAGAGCGGAGGGUUGGACAUUUAGUGUCUGCCUGGAGAGGAAAAUGACAGUUUAACUACAGAAAAACUGGAUUUAAAACGUUGUAAUAUUUUUGAGAUCAACUUGGCAGCUUUCUUUAUCAUCAGCGUUUGUCAUCAGUUACUUGCUGCGGUUCCCUCUCAUUCACUCCAGACAUCUCCUAAUCUUGUGAGAUAGUAAUCUUUACUCCUAACGCACUCCAAAAGAUUAAUUGAGUAAUGAAUUAUGUGAUUUCUGAUCAGGAUCUGAAUGGAACACAAACAAAAAAACGGCACGUCCGGUUGCAUCAUUUUGAAUAUAAAUUUUCUGAGAAAUGGUCCCAGAAAUAACGGGUGUUUGAGAAAUGUCUCAAUGACUAAAUGGACUAUUUGGACAUACGGUUGGAGGGAGCAAGGAGCCGAGAGGACAUACGGUUGGAGGGAACAAGGAGCCGAGAGGACAUAACGGUGGAGGCAACAAGGGGCCGAGAGGACAUACGGUUGGAGGGAACAAGGGGCCGAGAGGACAUAACGGUGGAGGGAACAAGGGGCCGAGAGGACAUACGGUUGGAGGGAACAAGGGGCCGAGAGGACAUAAGGGUGGAGGGAACAAGGGGCCAAGAGGACAUACGGUUGGAGGGAACAAGGGGCCGAGAGGACAUACGGGUGGAGGGAACAAGGGGCCGAGAGGACAUACGGGUGGAGGGAACAAGGGGCCCGAGAGGACAUAAGGGUGGAGGGAACAAGGGGCCGAGAGGAAAAAAGCUGUUAGGCCUAAAUGUGAUUCUUGUUUUUUCCUUGAGGUGUGUCAAACAUCACAAUAAAAUGUUAAUUGUUGGCCGACGGCAAACUUAAUUAAUAACCCCACAAAUUCUUCAACACAAGGAUUUGACGGGUUUCAACAGCCCAGAACCUGGAGGAGAGACAGAGACUUUGUCCUUCUGCAAAAUGCCAUGAGUCAGCGUGCAGAGCUUCGCCCUCACAGCGCGCUAUGAGAACAUAACAGGACACACAAUGAAGACGUGGGCAACCAAUUAAAGGUACAUGUUGCAGACAGAAUGAAUGAGCAGCCUCCUGUUACGCAAGGCAGCCCUGCAAAACAUGCAGCAACUGCCAGUGUAAGACCCCAGCGGUGUGUGUGUGUGUGUGUGUGUGUGUGUGUGUGUGUGUGUGUGUCUUACGGCUUCAGCAUGAUCGAAUUAGCCAGAAGAGAACACAACAGCAGAAAAUCAAAGUAAGAUGGGGAAAAAGAAGCACGUGGAAUAAACAGACCAAAAGAAGCUCUGACUUGUGCGUGACGAUAGAAUGGAAAACGGACUAAAAAGGAACAGAGAAAAAGAGGGUUAUGCAACUUUGUCCUUGAGAAGCUGGGCCAAAACUUGACUCGGCAUUCCUCGCUACUACGACCGCAGAGAGUCUUCUCAUGCAACGGAUUAAGCGGCGCUCAAGCAGGAGAGCAGGCGAUGCAUCCCGCUACCUGCAGUGAAGCGCCUCGCUGCACCUUGUGUAUACAGCCUGCAGACUGCGAGUAGCGGCGACCUCUUUAUGUCACUUCGGGCGUCUGGGCUUGUAUUUGUCGCCUUCUUUGUCAGAUUUCUUGGAAAUCUGACUUGGAAAGUCAGACGUCUCGCUCUGCGUUUCCAGGAAGACGCACGCUGAGGAGUCUGGUCUUGAGAUGAACAAUUCAGUUGCACAACCUCCGAACUCUUUUCAAAAUCAGCAAAAAUUGUUUUUCCUUUUAAGGUUUUUGUAUAAUUCAGCUUUGGCUCAUUUCAAGAGAAUAGUCAGCGCUGUGCUGCAUCUUUGUGCGGCGCGAGAGAACUUGAUUAAAUGGACUUCCUGUAAGGGGAAGUCUGCUUUUUGUACAGACUCAAACAUCUGAUGACGCAAACAAGAUCAAACUCUUUUGGUGAGGCCGACUUUCUCAAAAAAGGGAACAUUAACCAUUUAUAAGGAAAUCACACUUUUUUUUGUUUUGUUAGUCAUACAUACCAGUAUAAAUGGAAUUGUCCAUUUUUAAACUAAGAUUACAACCUCAUGGUUGUAUGUCCAUCCAGUCACAGUGCAGCAAACAUCCACGCCUCAAAUAUCUGACCUUAAACUUUGACCUUUUUGAGUCGAUGUUUUUUUUUAAAUGCUUUUAAAAAAGGACAGUGAUGGUCUGUGAUGCGAGUGACUAACUGGAGGGCCGGGAUGUUCUCGUAUGCACCGACAUGGAGGGAAAGACCUUCCAUCAGACACUACAUUGGCCUCAAUCGGCUUUCCCCGCAAAUCUGCCGCGCGAUCACGGCACGUUCCGGGGGGCCCGAAUGAAGCUUCGCCCGGUCUGUUUAGCGUUGUGAGUGUUGAACGCUCUGCAGAAGUAACGGCGUGUUUUUCAUGUGUGUGUCUUCUGAGACGUAAAUGUCAAGUGGAUGAGGUGGAUCUAUACGGCAGGUGUGAGAACAGCUUGAGGCGCGUGUCAUUAGCCCGCCACCGGUGUCACUCCGUCCUGCGCCGGCCCGACCUGGCACCAUCCGUGCGCCAUCCAUGCACCACAUGCCACACACACACACACACACACUCCUCUAUUUCAAGUGUGUGUAUUUGCUGCGAAAUUGUUUAAUGCGGCCCGAGCGCUGGCCUCCGCUCGCGACUGUUGAACUGAUUAAGGAGGAACCCCGAGCGGACUCCAUCGGGAGCUGGCUCCACUUGGUUUUCAUCUGACAUUUACUCAAGCUGCCCGCGAUGACAUCAGGCACUCGGAGUCAUUUCGGAGUAUCGUCCUGCUCGUUAACCCGUAGAUUGUCUGCGAGGUCUCUGCUUUCACUCCACUUCGCCGCCGGCGUCGUGAAGGCUGAACAAACACAAAAUAAUGCUUCGUCCUGCACAUUGAAGGCAUUGUGAAAGGCGCAAGAAGAGGUGUUGAAGUGCGUCGUCUCCAGCAUCCGCCGCUCGUGAACACGCAAGAGUCAACGUGAGCGGCUUCGGCACUGGCAUCACACUGCAUUGUGGGUAACGCUGCGUGACACGACCACGGGAGGCAGAAAAACGGAACGUCCCACCCGUGGACGCGUGCCUUUUGGGGUGAUUUAACAAGGUAAACGUUACUCGAUGCUAAUUAACAACUAUUGAUGCUGAUUAAUGUGCAUUAAAAGGGCCGUAAAUGUUUAAUUAGCGUUGCUCGCAGCAAACGGAAACCCCCUCGGUGGUUUUACCUUGGACUAAUUUAUGUGCCUUCAUUAGGGAAGUGAAAAGACGUGGGUGGGCUCGAUAGCUUGGCACCGCCUUGAAUUUAUCUGCAUGUAUUUUAGUGAAAAAUGAGAUUUAUGCUUUAACUUUGAACAACUAAAACGUUGCUCACUAGGCGUCAAAGACCAGCCGGCUUCACCUCAUUUUUGCUUAGAAGGCAAAAACUUCUGCUCGUCCGUCCGUCCGUUAUCUUUGGCCGCUUAUCGUGUUCAGGGUUGCGCAAUAGGUCAAAGUAGAGGUCACACUUGUGGAGUGUGGGGGGGGGGGGGGGGGGGAGCCGGAGAACCCGGAGAGAACGUGUAAGCGGUUCUGGCCACCACAUCGACCCUUGACCCCCCCCCCCGACUCAGAGGUUUGACUUCAUUCAGAUGAAAUAUUCAUGUUCAUGAUGACGUCGACUGUAAAAGGGUCUAUAAAAACCAAACGGGCCGUCAAAGGUUUAGUGACACGAAGCGUAUCGCACAGAACCACACACACGCACACGCACACACACACACACACGAUCCCCAGAGCCUAAGAUAGAGUCCAUUACUUUGGAAUGCCACACCGCUUCGCCCCCAAACACGAGAUUGAACUCGGACCUGGCCGGCCGGGCCCGAACCGGCGUGAGUCACACGCCAACCGGCAUGAUUGCCUGGUUACCCGCGCGGCUGCAGCGACUGCAUGUCGAAGGGCAGAGUGACUCACAGACGCACAAGAUUACCCCCACAUUAAAAACCCACAGCUUGUGUAAAUACGGCUCUGUUGUUCCCGCUGAGCUCUCUCAUUCACGGUUGCCGUGGCGUGAUUCAUGCACACAUGUGACCGGGCGGGCACCGCGGCGCUGGAGCUGCAGAGCUUGUGCCUCGGUGUGGGGGGCCGGGGGGG